GUCCAGCGAUCAGGGAAGAAGAAGCUGAGACUCGUCUCGACGGAACUAAAAUAUCACGGUCACUGCGAUACUGUCAGCGCUCCGUCAUAGCUGUUAUGGAUGCCACCUGCUGGUUCUGCUGAUCUGCUGCUCUUCUCAAAGUCCGGCUGGCCAUGAGCCCAACCAGUUCCCAUCUGCAGUAUGAGCCUCCGAACCAUAGGGGGCGCUGUGCUCAGCUACCUGGGCCCUAGUCUGGCAGCUCAGGCUGGAGGAGCCUGGAGCUCCAUCUCUUUCAGACCCAUACCCUCUUUGCUUCAGACCAUGGUACCUGCUGGUUACACCGCACUACAGGAGGAACGGCUGGCCAUGGUGGACCUCGGCAUGCCUAAGCCUGAUUCCCUCAAGAAUGGGUUCCAACGCGAGCCCCGCCGCCACUCAGACCGCAGCAGCAGAACAUCCAUCAGCCUGUCUGAUGCCGGAGACGGACACUAUGUGGAGACUGAGCCUAUGCUGCCUGAUGGCAGGCUUUCAGGAGAAGAGGCAGAUGAGGAAGAGGAGAGCGAGGAGGAAGGGCAGCAGCAGGCAACUAGAAAUAUGCCCAAAGAGUCGCCCCUUGCCAUGGCAUUGCAGAUACUGGUGCCCUUCCUGCUAGCUGGGUUCGGGACGGUUUCGGCUGGAGUGGUACUGGAUAUAGUACAGCAUUGGGAAGCAUUUAAAAACAUUACGGAGAUCUUCAUCCUGGUUCCGGCUCUUUUGGGUUUGAAAGGAAACUUAGAGAUGACCCUCGCUUCCAGACUUUCCACAGCGGUGAAUGUGGGGAAAAUGGACUCACCCAUAGAAAAGUGGAAUCUUAUUAUUGGAAAUUUGGCGCUGAAACAGGUGCAGGCCACAGUAAUAGGGUUCCUGGCAGCAGUAGCGGCAGUUGUACUGGGUUGGAUUCCUGAGGGAAAGUUCCAGAUCAGUCACGCCGUGUUGCUGUGUUCCAGUAGUGUUGCUACAGCCUUCAUAGCAUCUCUGCUGCAGGGUUUUAUAAUGGUGGGAGUGAUUGUGGGCUCUAAGAAGACAGGCAUCAACCCUGAUAAUGUAGCUACGCCCAUCGCCGCCAGUUUUGGGGACCUCAUCACACUGGCCAUCCUGGCAUGGAUCAGCCAGGGCCUCUACAACUGCCUAGACUCUCACCCAUAUGUGUCGUCUCUGGUGUGUGCCUUCUUCAUGUGUCUGACUCCGCUGUGGAUGGUCAUCUCCUCCAAACACCCCGCCAGCCGUCAGCUGCUCUACUCGGGCUGGGAGCCCGUUAUCACUGCCAUGUUCAUCAGCAGUAUUGGAGGACUCAUCCUUGACAAAACUGUAUCUGAUCCCAACCUGGCUGGGAUUGUGGUUUACACGCCUGUUAUCAAUGGUAUUGGAGGAAACCUGGUGGCCAUCCAGUCCAGUCGGAUAUCUACCUACCUACACUUCCACAGCACCCCUGGAGAGGUUCCUGACGAGGCCAAGGGUUGCUACUACCCCUGCCGUACCUUCUGUGGCACAGGAGCUAAUCAUAGGUCAGCACAGGUACUGCUGUUACUGGUCAUCCCUGGUCAUUUGAUCUUCCUGUACACCAUUGAUCUGAUGGAAAGGGGUCACACCUCACUUACGCCCGUUUUCAUGGUCGUGUAUUUAGCUGCCGCUCUUUUCCAGAAGCAGUGAAUACACACCAUCUCACCACAUCAAACAAACCCAAGACUUGUAAAAUGUUCUGCUGAAGGCCUGAGGCAGUGAAAGCGGAAUCUUGCUGAGCUGUGUUGACCCUUCCCUCAAUCUGCUCAAUAAGGGCCAAAAGUUAAAGAUAGAAGAAAGUCAUACAGGUUGGAAUGACACGAGGUGUGGACACGUCAGGCUGGCAGCGGCUGUUGCUGUGGCGAUGAUGAUGAUGAUGAUGACUCAUGCCUGCUGCGCUGAGUCCAGCUGAGUGCUGCGCUAGUUUGUGUGCCCUCGCGUCUGUCUGUAUUUGCUCAGUAAACACCAAACUGCAUGGCAGCGAGUCCUGCGCCGCGAGACAGUUAAUACCUCUUUUCAGCUGUCGCAUACACAUACUCAUACACACACGCGCGCGCUGCUGAUAAAGCUGUCCUUGUGCGUCUCUCCCCCUCACACUCAGUCCCAGCAGUCCCUGAUUCGACGCGCUGCUCGUCUUGACAGAUCUCUUGUCUGUCUCUUAAAGCGGAGGGCUUGAUUUAGUGCUGCUGCAGUAAAAUUGAUCCCGUGUCAAUGAGAGGAGGAGAAAGAGGCGAAUGCUCUUCUGCUCGCAAACCCUCGUUCACAAGAGACCAAAUCAACUUUUCCAAACUGUAAAAGCUGAAGCAACUUUUCCAUGAUUUUCGCUAACAGCCACACCGCAGGGAUGAACUCCUUCUUUCUCAUAAAAACACGAGUUUACACUUCAUUUUAACAGCCUACUAAAAAGGUCAAGCCACUGUAUGAUGUCUUUCCAGUGUUACAUCAUAGUAUGACUCUAUUAUUGCAUCAUCCCACAAUACAAUCAGUGCCUUUACAUCAUUUUCAUAUUUCAUUUAUGCUCAUACUUAAAAUAAGGGAUUUUAACAAGUGAAACAGACUUAUUGAAAAUAUAUUACUUGAAGAAAUUACAUAAUGUCAUUUUCUGGUGCAAGUAAUCAUGUGACUUCCUUUGACCUCUAGAGGAUAUCUAAUAGAGGUGUAUGUGAACGCCACUGACGAGAGAGAGGGAGAAUGGAGCGGCCGGAGAGAUAGAGAGAGGGGGUGAAUGAGUGCAGUGUCGAAUGCCCUCAGCGCUCAAACAGGAAGUUUCCACUGGCUCUGCCCGACACUGCCAAUGUGUCCUUUCUACAGGCCAGGUACACGCGCAAACACGCAGACAUGAACUCACAGGGUGCUGCAUUGAGAGGUUGCGUAAAAGUUCAAGGGAAAUGCUACCAUGUGUGCUGGCAGUGUGUGAUAGAGAAUUGUGGGAUACCUCUAGAGUGAUGUAAGACUGUUACACUAGUAUUGAAGAACUUACUUUGAAACUGAAGCUUUAAAGUGGUCAUAUGAUGCGAUUUC